CGGGGCAUAGCGCAGUUGGCUAGCGCGCAACGUUCGGGACGUUGAGGUCCACGGUUCAAAUCCGUCUGCCCCGA
rnacentral:tRNA from 1 species